UAGGUUUAUAGCUAACACUGUUUCAGAUAUAUGUAGAUAUUUUUGCUUUAGUGAUAAAACAACGGCAAUUUCUAUGGAUAAUGCUUCUAGUAACACUAGUGCAAUAGGCAUGCCAAACCCUUAAUCCUGUAUUUAGUAAUAUUUUCCAUGUUAGAUGUAUUUGUUAUAUUUAUCAUUUAAUUGUUGGUGAUGGCAUGCGAAUAUUAAACGUAGCAAUUGAAAAGGUAAGAAUAGCUCUUAAUUGGCUAUUUUAUUCAAACCGUAGAACUAGACUUAGAGAGUAUUUUAAAAAAUGU
rnacentral:lncRNA from 1 species